rnacentral:rRNA from 1 species
AGUGAAAAAGAACCUGAAACCGUGUACGUACAAGCAGUGGGAGCACGCUUAGGCGUGUGACUGCGUACCUUUUGUAUAAUGGGUCAGCGACUUAUAUUCUGUAGCAAGGUUAACCGAAUAGGGGAGCCGAAGGGAAACCGAGUCUUAACUGGGCGUUAAGUUGCAGGGUAUAGACCCGAAACCCGGUGAUCUAGCCAUGGGCAGGUUGAAGGUUGGGUAACACUAACUGGAGGACCGAACCGACUAAUGUUGAAAAAUUAGCGGAUGACUUGUGGCUGGGGGUGAAAGGCCAAUCAAACCGGGAGAUAGCUGGUUCUCCCCGAAAGCUAUUUAGGUAGCGCCUCGUGAAUUCAUCUCCGGGGGUAGAGCACUGUUUCGGCAAGGGGGUCAUCCCGACUUACCAACCCGAUGCAAACUGCGAAUACCGGAGAAUGUUAUCACGGGAGACACACGGCGGGUGCUAACGUCCGUCGUGAAGAGGGAAACAACCCAGACCGCCAGCUAAGGUCCCAAAGUCAUGGUUAAGUGGGAAACGAUGUGGGAAGGCCCAGACAGCCAGGAUGUUGGCUUAGAAGCAGCCAUCAUUUAAAGAAAGCGUAAUAGCUCACUGGUCGAGUCGGCCUGCGCGGAAGAUGUAACGGGGCUAAACCAUGCACCGAAGCUGCGGCAGCGACGCUGAUGCGUUGUUGGGUAGGGGAGCGUUCUGUAAGCCUGCGAAGGUGUGCUGUGAGGCAUGCUGGAGGUAUCAGAAGUGCGAAUGCUGACAUAAGUAACGAUAAAGCGGGUGAAAAGCCCGCUCGCCGGAAGACCAAGGGUUCCUGUCCAACGUUAAUCGGGGCAGGGUGAGUCGACCCCUAAGGCGAGGCCGAAAGGCGUAGUCGAUGGGAAACAGGUUAAUAUUCCUGUACUUGGUGUUACUGCGAAGGGGGGACGGAGAAGGCUAUGUUGGCCGGGCGACGGUUGUCCCGGUUUAAGCGUGUAGGCUGGUUUUCCAGGCAAAUCCGGAAAAUCAAGGCUGAGGCGUGAUGACGAGGCACUACGGUGCUGAAGCAACAAAUGCCCUGCUUCCAGGAAAAGCCUCUAAGCAUCAGGUAACAUCAAAUCGUACCCCAAACCGACACAGGUGGUCAGGUAGAGAAUACCAAGGCGCUUGAGAGAACUCGGGUGAAGGAACUAGGCAAAAUGGUGCCGUAACUUCGGGAGAAGG